rnacentral:piRNA from 1 species
UGACUGGUGCUUGAUGAACCCAGGGAGU